rnacentral:lncRNA from 1 species
UCUCCCAAAGUGCUGGGAUGACAGGUGUGAGCCACUGCGCCCGGCCUGCUAAGCGUAGUCUUAUUGAAGUUUUCAGCCAAUAGAUGUGGGAGUACUCUUUCAUUCUCAUUUACAGAUGGGGAAACUGAGGCACAGAGGGAAUACAUCGAGGGUCCCAAGCUCGAAAAUAGUGAACCAGGAUCUAAAAUUCAGCCAGAACUACUUUUAAUCCCUACACUCUAUGCACCUCAGAGCUUCAAAGUCCUCAUCUUUUAAAUGGGGGUAACAGCAGCAAGUCCUCAGAGGUGUCCUGAGCCUCAAAACAUAGCCUGGUAUUUAACGUCCACAGCCUCAGCAGGGGCUGGGCACAGAACAAGCACUCAGGACCUGGAAGGUGCCAGCGACACUUGGUCCUUUCCUCCCAGGCACAAGGCAGCCCACCACUCUCCAUUCAAGCUCUGCCCCAGCCCAGCAAAGAGAGGGGUCCUCAGCCACAGCUCCCGCCACUACCACAAUCAUACUCACCCCUCCUGGUCUCUAUGUGACACAGGACCUGCCGCCGCCAGGGAGACAGGCAGAGGCACUGCCACUCCCACUCUGCCCUGUCCUGACUCAGAUCACCCAUGGCCCAGCCUCAGGGGAUGCUGCUGGGGUGCAAUGGCAUGUGGAAGGGUAGGAGGGAUAGGAGGAGGAGGAGGAGGCCCCUGGGGAGGUGGCUCUCCAUCUCUCUGUCUUUCUGGGUGUAGCACCUCCUGGAGUUGGCACCAGGCCCUGACCAGUUUCACCCCAUUCAGCCUUCGCAGAAAGGCUGGCACAUGGAUCCCUCAGCCUGACCAGAUACCAGCCUCCUGUCAUGAGCAAUGCUCCAUCUCCACCACAGCGCCCCCCACAGGCAGGCCCCCCCACACCUGAGCAGAGUCCACUUCCAGAAUAGUGCUCCCUAUGCAGGUGACACACUCUAUCCAAACCCAGCACCCCAAAAUCCCCAAGCAGGGGAAGCAAAGCCAAUGUUCAGCCCUGCAGUCCCUACACAGGUGCCACAAAUUCCAGCCCUGCCCCACAGCACAGCCUCUGAAUUCGGGCUCACAGCCCGAAUUCCUGCUAACACCCUUUUGCCCCUGUUCCUCAGAAGCCCACCACAGGCCUGUUGGCCAUCACGCUGGCCCUCCACCUCUGUGACUUGGUGCACAUUGCCGGCUUCGGCUACCCAGAUGCCUACAACAAGAAGCAGACCAUUCACUACUAUGAGCAGAUCACGCUCAAGUCCAUGGCGGGGUCAGGCCAUAAUGUCUCCCAAGAGGCCCUGGCCAUUAAGCGGAUGCUGGAGAUGGGAGCCGUCAAGAACCUCACGUCCUUCUGACCUGGGCAAGAGUUGUAGCCUGUCGGCUGCCUACUCUGCUGUCUGGGUGACCCCCGUCCGUGGCUGUGGGGGUGCCUGGUGCCAGUAUGACCCACUUGGACUCACCCCCUCUUGGGGAGGGAGUUCUGGGCCUGGCCAGGUCUGAGAUGAGGCCAUGCCCCUGGCUGCUCUUAUGGAGCCGAGAUCCAGUCAGGGUGGGGGUGCUGGAACCAUGGGAGCCCGGCCAGGGCAGGGGGCUCGUUGCUGUGGCACCCCCUCUCUGCCAGCACCAAGAGAUUAUUUAAUGGGCUAUUUAAUUAAGGGGUAGGAAGGUGCUGUGGGCUGGUCCCAUGCAUCCAGGAAAGAGGCCAGUAGAGUCUUCUGCCCACUUUUUAUAAAAACCUGCAGUGAUGGCCCCACCAAGGCCUAGACAUAGCACCGGCCUCCCAGGAGGGCAGGGGCAUUGGGAAUGGGUGGGUGCCCUCCAGAGAGGAGCUGCUACCUCCCAGCAGGCAUGGGAAGAGCACUGGUGUGGGGGUUCCACCGAGAAGGGGACCUCAUCUAGAAAAGAGGUUACAAACCUACCAUUAAACUAUUUUUCCUAAAACGGAAGCAGUUGUGAUGUCCUGUGUCCUUUCAGGUGGGGAAAGGCAUGGGAUGGGGUGUAGCACUUGGCAGGCUUGUUAGACCAGAGCAGGGCAUGAUCACUUGGGAAAUAAUUACCUAUUGAGUCCAGUGUUGGGUGCCUGGUCAUGCAUUAUCACCCUGGCACAGCAGGCGAGUGAGUGGUGCUCGCCGCAGCCCUGUCUGCAGACACCCAGCCUGGCACCCUGCAUUCUGGGUUACUGCCCAGAGGAGGGAGGGGCUGGAGGAUGCCAGAUGAGAGUGCCAGCAUCCUCUCCCACCUUCCUUCCUCUCUCCCCCACCAUUCUUCAGUUACCCAAAUCUCAUGCUUGGGAGGUACGUGUUUUAAGGACAGGGGUGGGGUCAGACAAAGAAAGCCAAGUUUCCCUUCUCAGAUUAAGUGGGAACCAGAAAAUGGAGUUUAUGGAAGGUCUUGCCAGCAGCCCAGGCUGCCAGGAUGGGGUGGGCAGGCCUGGAGGGCAGCGUCGAAGGGAUUUGGCAAGGCCUAUCAGCCAGUUGCUGGGCCAGGGGAUGAAACGGUU